AUACGUAGGGGGCAAGCGUUAUCCGGAUUUACUGGGCGUAAAGGGAGCGUAGACGGUCUAGGCAAGUCUGGAUGAAGAACCCGGGGCUCAACCCCGGGACUGCAUUGGAAACUGCUUAGCUAGAGUGUCGGAGAGGUAAGUGGAAUUCCUAGUGUAGCGGUGAAAUGCGUAGAUAUUAGGAGGAACACCAGUGGCGAAGGCGACUUACUGGACGAUAACUGACGCUGAGGCUCGAAAGCGUGGGGAGC
rnacentral:rRNA from 1 species